UACCAGCACCCCGAGUGGUCGGGACGAUUAUUGGGCCUAAAGCAUCCGUAGCUUGUUCUGCAAGUCCUCCGUUAAAUCCACCUGCUCAACAGAUGGGCUGCGGGGGAUACUACAGGGCUAGGAGGCGGGAGAGGCAAACGGUACUCAGUGGGUAGGGGUAAAAUCCGUUGAUCCAUAGAAGACCACCAGUGGCGAAGGCGGCUUGCCAGAACGCGCUCGACGGUGAGGGAUGAAAGCUGGGGGAGCAAACCGG
rnacentral:rRNA from 1 species